rnacentral:lncRNA from 1 species
CAAGGAGCAUAUGUAAAGUUUCGACGAAUUAGUUUCGGUACAAAAUGAAUCUAUGUAGGAAACAACUUUAAAGUUGAGGUCAAGGGUAUUGGAACGUGUAAAUUGGAGUUGCAUAGAGGAUGUACUCUAUUCAUACAUGAUGUUCUUUAUGCUUUGGAUAUUCGAUGAAAUUUAGUCUCUGUGUUAGUCCUUCUUGGUUUAGGUUUCAAUUUGAAUUUUCAUGAUUCAGUAAUGGAGUUGUAU